rnacentral:rRNA from 1 species
UACAUGGGGUGCAAACGUUGCUCGGAAUUAUUGGGCGUAAAGCGCACGUAGGCGGUCCGUUAAGUCGGAUGUGAAAUCCCCCGGCUCAACCGGGGAAGUGCAUCCGAAACUGGCGGGCUAGAGUACGAAAGAGGGUCGCGGAAUUCCCGGUGUAGAGGUGAAAUUCGUAGAUAUCGGGAGGAACACCAGUGGCGAAGGCGACUUCCUGGCCUGUUCUUGACGCUGAGGCGCGAAAGCUAGGGGAGCAAACGGG